UACAGAGACUGCAAGCGUUAUUCGGAUUCACUGGGCGUAAAGUGUGCGCAGGUGGCUGAGCAAGUCGAGUGUGAAAUCCCCGGGCUUAACUUGGGAAUUGCGCUCGAAACUACUUGGCUCGAGUGUGGCAGAGGAAGGUGGAAUUCCAGGUGUAGCGGUGAAAUGCGUAGAGAUCUGGAGGAACACCGAUGGCGAAGGCAGCCUUCUGGGCCAACACUGACGCUCAUGCACGAAAGCGUGGGGAGCAAACAGG
rnacentral:rRNA from 1 species